GAUGAACGCUGGCGGCGUGCCUAAUACAUGCAAGUCGAGCGAACAGACGAGGAGCUUGCUCCUCUGACGUUAGCGGCGGACGGGUGAGUAACACGUGGAUAACCUACCUAUAAGACUGGGAUAACUUCGGGAAACCGGAGCUAAUACCGGAUAAUAUAUUGAACCGCAUGGUUCAAUAGUGAAAGACGGUUUUGCUGUCACUUAUAGAUGGAUCCGCGCCGCAUUAGCUAGUUGGUAAGGUAACGGCUUACCAAGGCAACGAUGCGUAGCCGACCUGAGAGGGUGACCGCCCAAACUGAACUUGGAAACGGUCCAAAACCCCAACGGGAGGAAGCGGUAGGAAAUCUUCCGCAAUGGGCGAAGGCCUGACGGGCAACGCCGCGUGAGUGAUGAAGGUCUUCGGAUCGUAAAACUCUGUUAUUAGGGAAGAACAAAUGUGUAAGUAACUAUGCACGUCUUGACGGUACCUAAUCAGAAAGCCACGGCUAACUACGUG
rnacentral:rRNA from 1 species